rnacentral:rRNA from 1 species
UGCGUAGGCGGGUCUUUAAGUCAGGGGUGAAAUCCUGAAGCUCAACUCCAGAACUGCCUUUGAUACUGAGGAUCUUGAGUCCGGGAGAGGUGAGUGGAACUGCGAGUGUAGAGGUGAAAUUCGUAGAUAUUCGCAAGAACACCAGUGGCGAAGGCGGCUCACUGGCCCGGUACUGACGCUGAGGCACGAAAGCGUGGGAGCAAACA